CUACGGGUUGCAGCAGUGAGGAAUAUUGCACAAUGGGGGGAACCCUGAUGCAGCAACGCCGCGUGGAGGAUGACGCAUUUCGGUGUGUAAACUCCUUUUAUAUGUCAAGAAAAUGACGGUAGCAUAUGAAUAAGCACCGGCUAACUCCGUGCCAGCAGCCGCGGUAAUACGGAGGGUGCAAGCGUUACUCGGAAUCACUGGGCGUAAAGGACGCGUAGGCGGGUUGGAAAGUCAGGUGUGAAAUCCUACAGCUUAACUGUAGAACCGCACUUGAAACUUCUAAUCUAGAGUAUGGGAGGGGGAGAUGGAAUUAGUGGUGUAGGGGUAAAAUCCGUAGAUAUCACUAGGAAUACCUAAAGCGAAGGCGAUCUCCUGGAACAUUACUGACGCUAAGGCGUGAAAGCGUGGAGAGCAAACAGGAUUAGAUACCCUAGUAGUC
rnacentral:rRNA from 1 species